rnacentral:rRNA from 1 species
GCUCAGAACGAACGUUAGCGGCGCGCUUACACAUGCAAGUCGAACGAGAAAGCACCUUCGGGUGUGAGUAAAGUGGCGCACGGGUGAGUAACACGUGGGAAUCUACCCUGAGGUGGGGGACAACCUCGCGAAAGUGGGGCUAAUACCGCAUAAGUCGACUUCGGUCGGGAAAGGUGGCUUCGGCUAUCGCCUUAGGAUGAGCCCGCGUCCCAUCAGCUAGUUGGUAAGGUAAUGGCUUACCAAGGCCACGACGGGUAGCUGGUCUGAGAGGAUGAUCAGUCACACUGGAACUGAGACACGGUCCAGACUCCUACGGGAGGCAGCAGUGGGGAAUAUUGCGCAAUGGGCGAAAGCCUGACGCAGCGACGCCGCGUGAGUGAUGAAGGCCUUCGGGUCGUAAAGCUCUGUUGGAGAGGGAAGAAAAACUUGUGGGAAUAAUACCCCAUGGGCUUGACGGUACCUUUCCAGAAAGCACCGGCUAACUCCGUGCCAGCAGCCGCGGUAAUACGGAGGGUGCAAACGUUGUUCGGAAUCACUGGGCGUAAAGCGCGUGUAGGCGGCGCGUUAAGUCAGAUGUGAAAGUCCAGGGCUUAACCCUGGAAGUGCAUUUGAAACUGGCGUGCUAGAGUACGGGAGAGGGUGGUAGAAUUCCCGGUGUAGAGGUGAAAUUCGUAGAUAUCGGGAGGAAUACCGGUGGCGAAGGCGGCCACCUGGACCGAUACUGACGCUGAGACGCGAAAGCGUGGGGAGCAAACAGGAUUAGAUACCCUGGUAGACCACGCCGUAAACGAUGGAUACUAGAUGGUGCGGGUAUUGACCCCUGCACUGUCGUAGCUAACGCGUUAAGU